GCGUUUAUAGCUCAGUUGGUUAGAGCACCACCUUGACAUGGUGGGGGUCGUUGGUUCUAGUCCAAUUAAACGCACCA
rnacentral:tRNA from 1 species